rnacentral:rRNA from 1 species
AGUGAACGCUGGCGGUAGGCCUAACACAUGCAAGUCGAACGGCAGCACAGUAAGAGCUUGCUCUUACGGGUGGCGAGUGGCGGACGGGUGAGGAAUACAUCGGAAUCUACUUUUUCGUGGGGGAUAACGUAGGAAAACUUACGCUAAUACCGCAUACGACCUACGGGUGAAAGCAGGGGAUCUUCGGACCUUGCGCGAUUGAAUGAGCCGAUGUCGGAUUAGCUAGUUGGCGGGGUAAAGGCCCACCAAGGCGACGAUCCGUAGCUGGUCUGAGAGGAUGAUCAGCCACACUGGAACUGAGACACGGUCCAGACUCCUACGGGAGGCAGCAGUGGGGAAUAUUGGACAAUGGGCGCAAGCCUGAUCCAGCCAUACCGCGUGGGUGAAGAAGGCCUUCGGGUUGUAAAGCCCUUUUGUUGGGAAAGAAAAGCAGCAGGUUAAUACCCCGCUGUUCUGACGGUACCCAAAGAAUAAGCACCGGUUAACUUCGUG